ACACAUGAACAAGAAGGUGAAUGGGGAAGUGAUACGUGUUAAGAGGGAAGUACGGUGUUCUGAGUCACCGGAGUCUUCUCUGUGUAAGAGCUGCUAAAUCGGAGACUGAAGAAUUGCCUGAAGAUUAGCUCCAGAGGGAGGAAAGGAGUUCCAGGCAGAGGGAACAGCAGAUUAAAUAUCUUGGCGGAUUCCGGGAAGCGUAGGAAGGCUGGUACGGCUACGGAGUAGCGAGAUGUGGGACGUAGUAUAGAAGAUAGCAUGGUAGGAACGAAGGCACUGAGCAGUGAUGGAGCUGGGGAGAAGAAAGCUUGCUAGGAGAAGAAGGCAUGCAGAACAUGCUGGAAGAAUAACUACUGCAUGCAUCUACUGGCUGAGACUUGAACACCUACCAGGACGGUCCAUAUUUAUCCUCCAUCUAGACCAGCCAUUCUCAAGCCUGGCUGAUCAUAAGAACGACAUCUAUACCCAUCACUAUUCUAAUCCAGCAAGCACAUGGCUAGUGUGUUCUGUAAAGUCUGGAAUUCGUGUCCUAUAAAGUUCACGGUGAUUCUGCUGAUCACUCAGUCGGGGGACCACUCCCUUCAGUUAACUCUUGGUUUUAGUUUCUACCAUAAUGAUCCCUGAUAAUUCCAAUAAAGAGCUACACAACCC